UCUCUGUUAGUAUAUCGGUUAGUACACGCGCCUGUCACUCUGGCUUUCGAAUGUGUCCGCGCGAAAGCUGGGUUCGACUCCCAGACAGAGAG